rnacentral:rRNA from 1 species
AUUGAACGCUGGCGGCAGGCCUAACACAUGCAAGUCGAACGAGUGGCGGACGGGUGAGUAAUGUCUGUGAAACUGCCUGAUGGAGGGGGAUAACUACUGGAAACGGUAGCUAAUACCGCAUACCAUCAGAUGUGCCCAGAGGGGCUUAGCUAGUUGGUGGGGUAACGGCUCACCAAGGCGACGAUCCCUAGUUGGUCUGAGAGGAUGACCAGCCACACUGGAACUGAGGCACGGUCCAGACUCCUACGGGAGGCAGCAGUGGAGAAUAUGGGACAAUGGGCGCAAGCCUGAUAGAGCCAUGCCGCGUGGAGGAAGAAGGCCUUCAGGUUGUAAAGUUCUUACAGCGGGGAGGCGUUACCCGCAGAAGAAGCACCGGCUAACUCCGUGCCAGCAGCCGCGGUAAUAC